GUAUUUUUCUAUGAUGAUCAAUGUUCUAAUCCCAGCUCUAUGAGACCUUUUGUAGGUCAGGGAAUUGACUCUGUACGACAUUAAUCUGAACCUUC